AAUUCAGGUUAAAAAUCGCAAUUCCAAAUUGAAUGUCAGCAUUAGUCAAAAUUCACGAUGCCAUUACCAAAAGAAAUCAAAUCGAAACAGUCGAAGAGACGGGCACGCAGUAAACGCAGACCCCUGAAACGAAAAUCCACAAGGGGCAUACCGGUGACAGAGAUCGCAAAGACGGCAGGAAAGUUAUGGAAAAUGAUGAGCGAAAGAGACCGAUUGCCUUAUAACAAAAUGGCCAGAAAAGCCCCAAUCAGAAGACGCAGGAAGAGGGACAACAAAAACACAGCUGCUAAACGGCUCAAAAAGAUUUGCGAGGAGAAACGGAUUAGGAGAUCAAAUCGUCAGAUCAAAUAACUUGUUAUGCGUUUCUUAAGCAAAUAAAUUUGAUGCGAUCAUUA
rnacentral:lncRNA from 1 species